ACAGCUUUUGGCCUUGCCAUCAUAUGGGUUCCUGCUACUCACCUCAGGACUUUUGUGGUGCUUCUUUUGGCCAGAGAAUAACUCCAGCACAGGACAUUAGAGCGUGUUGACCUUUCUGAUCUUGGGUCCGCUUCAGGUACUAAUGUCCAAUUUGGAUCAUCUUUGCCAUGAAGAAGUGCUAGUGGGAGUUGUAAGGGUGUUUUUUUGUGAAGAGAUCUGACUCUCUGUACCUGACUGCCCCAUUGGUACCAAAUGGGCUGAAUUUUUUCUAUCUGGUCAUGCAUCAGUCUGUAAAAAAAGCCUGCAGGAUGCAUCCCAGGGGAUGGACCUUACAGGUGGGAAUUCUCUCAGACUACAUUAUAAAACAAAGAUGGUUUCUGCCCAAUCUGUAGAUGGAGUAACAAGGAGGGGUUCCGUGCACAGUGACAUUUCACCUUGCCAUAAUUGCUUGCAAUUGCUAUUGGAAGUUUGAC